UGCUGUGUCCCUUUCUUUUCU
rnacentral:piRNA from 1 species